GGGUUUAGAACGUCGUGAGACAGUUCGGUCCCUAUCUGCCGUGGGCGCUGGAGAACUGAGGGGGGCUGCUCCUAGUACGAGAGGACCGGAGUGGACGCAUCACUGGUGUUCGGGUUGUCAUGCCAAUGGCACUGCCCGGUAGCUAAAUGCGGAAGAGAUAAGUGCUGAAAGCAUCUAAGCACGAAACUUGCCCCGAGAUGAGUUCUCCCUGACCCUUUAAGGGUCCUGAAGGAACGUUGAAGACGACGACGUUGAUAGGCCGGGUGUGUAAGCGCAGCGAUGCGUUGAGCUAACCGGUACUAAUGAACCGUGAGGCUUAACCUUACAACGCCGAAGGUGUUU
rnacentral:rRNA from 1 species